AUUGAACGCUGGCGGCAUGCCUUACACAUGCAAGUCGAACGGCAGCACGGGCUUCGGUCUGGUGGCGAGUGGCGAACGGGUGAGUAAUGUAUCGGAACGUACCUUUCAGUGGGGGGAUAACGUAGCGAAAGUUACGCUAAUACCGCAUAUUCUGUGAGCAGGAAAGCAGGGGAUCGCAAGACCUUGCGCUGAUUGAGCGGCCGAUAUCAGAUUAGCUAGUUGGUGAGGUAAAGGCUCACCAAGGCGACGAUCUGUAGCGGGUCUGAGAGGAUGAUCCGCCACACUGGAACUGAGUCACGGUCCAGACUCCUACGGGAGGCAGCAGUGGGGAAUUUUGGACAAUGGGGGCAACCCUGAUCCAGCCAUGCCGCGUGAGUGAAGAAGGCCU
rnacentral:rRNA from 1 species